UGGGGAAUAUUGGACAAUGGGCGAAAGCCUGAUCCAGCCAUGCCGCGUGUGUGAAGAAGGUCUUCGGAUUGUAAAGCACUUUAAGUUGGGAGGAAGGGCAUUAACCUAAUACGUUAGUGUUUUGACGUUACCGACAGAAUAAGCACCGGCUAACUCUGUGCCAGCAGCCGCGGUAAUACAGAGGGUGCAAGCGUUAAUCGGAAUUACUGGGCGUAAAGCGCGCGUAGGUGGUUUGUUAAGUUGGAUGUGAAAUCCCCGGGCUCAACCUGGGAACUGCAUUCAAAACUGACUGACUAGAGUAUGGUAGAGGGUGGUGGAAUUUCCUGUGUAGCGGUGAAAUGCGUAGAUAUAGGAAGGAACACCAG
rnacentral:rRNA from 1 species